GACGAACGCUGGCGGCGUGCUUAACACAUGCAAGUCGAACGGAAAGGCCCUGCUUGCAGGGUACUCGAGUGGCGAACGGGUGAGUAACACGUGGGUGAUCUGCCCUGCACUUCGGGAUAAGCCUGGGAAACUGGGUCUAAUACCGGAUAGGAGCCAUUUUUAGUGUGAUGGUUGGAAAGUUUUUUCGGUGUAGGAUGAGCUCGCGGCCUAUCAGCUUGUUGGUGGGGUAAUGGCCUACCAAGGCGGCGACGGGUAGCCGGCCUGAGAGGGUGGACGGCCACAUUGGGACUGAGAUACGGCCCAGACUCCUACGGGAGGCAGCAGUGGGGAAGAUUGCACAAUGGGCGCAAGCCUGAUGCAGCGACGCCGCGUGGGGGAGGACGGCCUUCGGGUUGUAAACUCCGUUCGCUAGGGACGAAGCUUUUUGUGACGGUACCUAGAUAAGAAGCACCGGCUAACUACGUG
rnacentral:rRNA from 1 species